rnacentral:rRNA from 1 species
CGCGUAGGCGGCCGAUUAAGUCGGGGGUGAAAGCCUGUGGCUCAACCACAGAAUUGCCUUCGAUACUGGUUGGCUUGAGACCGGAAGAGGACAGCGGAACUGCGAGUGUAGGGGUGAAAUUCGUAGAUAUUCGGAGGAACACCAGUGGCGAAGGCGGCUUACUGGUCCAUUACUGACGCUGAGGUGCGAAAGCGUGGGGAGCAAACA